rnacentral:rRNA from 1 species
GAUUGAACGCUGGCGGCAGGCCUAACACAUGCAAGUCGAACGGUAACAGGAAGCAGCUUGCUGCUUUGCUGACGAGUGGCGGACGGGUGAGUAAUGUCUGGGAAACUGCCUGAUGGAGGGGGAUAACUACUGGAAACGGUGGCUAAUACCGCAUAACGUCGCAAGACCAAAGAGGGGGACCUUCGGGCCUCUUGCCAUCAGAUGUGCCCAGAUGGGAUUAGCUKGUUGGUGAGGUAACGGCUCACCAAGGCGACGAUCCCUAGCUGGUCUGAGAGGAUGACCAGCCACACUGGAACUGAGACACGGUCCAGACUCCUACGGGAGGCAGCAGUGGGGAAUAUUGCACAAUGGGCGCAAGCCUGAUGCAGCCAUGCCGCGUGUAUGAAGAAGGCCUUCGGGUUGUAAAGUACUUUCAGCGGGGAGGAAGGUGUUGUGGUUAAUAACCRCAGCAAUUGACGUUACCCGCAGAAGAAGCACCGGCUAACUCCG